rnacentral:rRNA from 1 species
CGGACGGGUGAGUAAUGUCUGGGAAACUGCCUGAUGGAGGGGGAGUAACUACUGGAAACGGUAGCUAAUACCGCAUAACGUCGCAAGACCAAGAGGGGACCUUCGGGCCUCUUGCCAUCAGAUGUGCCCAGAUGGGAUUAGCUAGUAGGUGGGGUAACGGCUCACCUAGGCGACGAUCCCUAGCUGGUCUGAGAGGAUGACCAGCCACACUGGAACUGAGACACGGUCCAGACUCCUACGGGAGGCAGCAUG